rnacentral:tRNA from 1 species
UCGGGGAUCGUCUAAUGGUAGGACAGCGGCCUUUGAAGCCGUGAAUAGGGGUUCGAAUCCCUUUCCCCGAG